GCGAAAACUUUACAAUGCUGGCAACAGCGAUAAGGGAACCUCGAGUGCCAGGUUACAAAUCUGGCUGUCGAGAUGCCUAAAAAGCAUUUCAUAGCAAGGGCCGGGCAAGACCGGUGCCAGCCGCCGCGGUAACACCGGCGGCUCGAGUGGUAACCGUUAUUAUUGGGUCUAAAGGGUCUGUAGCCGGCCGGAUAAGUCCCUUGAGAAAUCUGGCAGCUUAACUGUCAGGCUUUCAGGAGAUACUGUCUGGCUCGAGGCCGGGAGAGGUGAGAGGUACUUCAGGGGUAGGGGUGAAAUCUUGUAAUCCGUGAAGGAGCACCAGUGGCGAAGGCGUCUCACCAGAACGGACCUGACGGCAAGGGACGAGAGCUAGGGGCACGAACC
rnacentral:rRNA from 1 species